GUAAAUUAAAGCAGAAGGUGAAUGCCUUGGCUUGUUUGACCGAAGAAGGACGCCUAGGGUGCGAAAGUCGUCGGGGAGCUCCCAAAAAGCUAUGAUCCGACGGUGUCCGAAUGGGGAAACCCCCCUAUCAGCGAUGGUAGGGAUUCCUAAAUUUAUUUAGGGAGGGGAACGCGCUGAACUGAAAUAUCUAAGUAAGCGCAGGAAAAGAAAUCACAGAGAUUCCCUUAGUAAGCGACGAGCGAAAAGGGACUAGUCCAAACCGAACUUUUGUUCGGGGUUGUAGGGCUUUCGAUAUUGGAUUCUUUAGAUUAGUAGAACAACGUGGAAUAGUUGGCCAAAGAACGUGACAGCCGUGUAUAUGAAAAUCAAAAGAAGCAUAGAAAGUACCUGAGUAAGUUGGGAGACGGCAAACUCCCUUCCGAAUCCGGGGUGACCACACUCCAA
rnacentral:rRNA from 1 species